GGCGCUGUGGUUUAGUUGCUAAAAGCGCCUGUCUAGUAUGCAGGAGAUCCAGAGUUCAAAUCACAGCAGCGCCU